GGCUGGCAAGCCUCUCUGCUGCUUCUGGAGUCACCUUGGUCAUGAGUUCCUCCACUGCAGCAGGGAAAGGAAAGUGGGGCAGGAGCUGAGGCCAUGGGCAACUCCACCACAUCCAGGUACUUCCCGGUGUAGCCUUCUGGCUUUGCUUAUGAUGGGUUCAUUUGGCUUCUCUGAGUCAUGUUGCUUCUCUGGACAAGUGAGGUGUUUGCUGUCAGUGAAGUGGGCUGAAUCAACAAGGUGUCAUUCUCUAAAAGCCAGAAAUUGGGCUGGCAGCGCUUUGUGGGAUGGGAGAAGAACAUGAAACACAAAGUGCUUCAGAGGAACGAGGUUGUCAAAAUGGAGAGAGAAGCCCAGAGAGGAGGUUGGGGCAAUGCUGAAGUUUGGUUCUGUAAUUGGCGUUCUGGAGCAUACCCUUAUAUAUUCAACACAUAUCUGUGAAGUGUCAGCCUCAUGCCAGGUCCUGUUCUCAGAACUGGAAAUGUAAGAAACAAGGUGACUCCUUCAGAUCAGGAUGCAGCAACAUUCUCAAGGAAGAGGAAACCAUCUUUAUACCACAAAGGUCUAAAGUCUGAUUCCACCGACAAGGGAGGUUCCCUGGGUGGUUGGAGUUUCAGGAUACGCGCAGAACUUCAAAUCCUCCCGUAUAUCUCCAUUUCAGUUCCCCAGUGCUCAUUUGAUACUGACCAAUGUGCUGUACGAUGCAAUGUAUGGGUAAGAAUAUGGGCUGCGGAAUCAAUUGUUUUCAUCCCAGCUCCGCUCCUGCCAGCUAUUUGACCUAUGAAAAUUCACUUAACCUCUCUGUACUUUGGUUUCUUAAUCCGUGAAAUAGAGAAGACAAUAAUACUUAAAAGGAUGCUUCUGAAUAUUAAAUAUGAUAAUACAAAUAUAGCACUUAGAACAGUGCCUUGAACAUAGCAUUUUCUAAGUGCUAGCCAUGCCUAUCAUUAUGAGGCUUGACAAGGCUGAGAAUUCAACUGAUAUUACAGUUGGACAACUCACAGCAUAAAUCUUUGGCCACUUUAGCCCUGCAGCUGCUUGAGCUAAGGAAUCAUUUUGAAUGGUUUUAGAAAGUCCCUGGGUUUCUAAAUGUCCUUGAUUUGAGCCAAGAAUUUAGGUUUUUAAACUUUUUAAUGAGUUAAUUUUUCUUCUUUAAAUUCUAUUUCAUGAUAGAAUAAGGUUGAUUUUUUUCACUAUAGGAGUAAUACAAUGUAUUAUAAAAAAAAUCACCACUGCAGAUACAUGUAAAGAAAAAAGUUAAAAUAAAAUGAAAGCUCUUUACCCUGAGAUGACAUUAACGUUUUGGUGAAUAUUCUUCUAUGCAUCUCUGUAUACAUCCCUGAAGUUCUGUGGGCCUGCGUUUUCACAGGAGCCCCAAGAACUCCAUGCUCCAGGACUCUCAACUCCAGUUCUCAAAGUUCUCUGGUACAAGAAGAACUAAAUCUUGCACUCAUUUCGUCCAUCAAGAUCUUGGAGGAGCAGAGGCUGUGUUUGUACCCUGCCAGCUCUUGAAUCUCCCCUGGUUAGAAAAGGAAAAUGGCAGUUGACUUGGAUUUGAGAAGCAGGCUGUCGACACAGAUUGAUGCCUAUUCUUUUUAAUAAAGUGUCUAGUGACAAUAAAUUAGCGCUUCUCACAUCCAUUCAUUAUGUACUUCAUGCACUGUAUGUGCUAGGCAAUAUGAUCCCCUAAAUCUUUACCCCAGAAGGUAUUUUAUCCUAGGAGACCAUAGGCAAUACAGAUUUUCCUCCUUAUAAUGACUGCUUAUUCAUCUAUCUUUUUGUCAUACCAUCUCUCGAAAAGUUUACUUCUUUGCAAAUGACUCUUUUCUUUACAAGUGUAAUGACAUUUUUUUUGUGCUUCAAAAUGUGCUAAAGAUAAAUAUUACAAGAAGUAAUAGUUCAGCAUUAUAUUUUCAGGCAAAGACAUACUCAUCAGUAGACUUGACAAAACAGUUUAUAGUCUAAGAAUAUUCUAUAGAGUUGUGUUUAGAUGAAAGCAAAAUUGUGCUCUGCAUACACAAACCAAGCGAAAAGAGAUGAUUCUUGAGUCUGUUUAGUGCAUGCACCGUUCCUGCAUUUUAAAAUACUCUUGUGUUUUGCUCUUAAAGUGGUUUCAAGAACAUUAGUUUUAAGUAUAGUUUUAGGUUGAAAAUUGGUGAAUAAAAUGAUGUAAAAAGAAGUGUGCCUCCAAGAAUGACUGCCUUGCACUCUUCCUCCACUAGCUGCCAUCUAUGUUCCAGUUUCCUCUUCCUCUUUUAGUGAGGACGUUAAACCUUCACUGCACUAAAUUUUAUAUGUAAACUCUUUAUUUUCAACUGUUGUUAUUAAUUACGUAGACUUGUUUUCAUUGUUCAAUUUAUAUAUUUUUCUAACAACUGAAAAUUGUUUGGAUAUUUUGGUUUGGGAUGAAACGAAUCAUAAUUUGUUCCAUCAAAAUUAAUAUAAUUUUCAAAAAAUUUCAUGGCUUUUCUUUGAGCAGCAAAGUUUUCAAGAAUGAAUUAAAGUUAUUGGGAAAGA
ensembl:lncRNA